rnacentral:sRNA from 1 species
GCCAGGCGAGGUGGCCCACGCCUGUAAUCCCAGCAGCUCGGGAGGCUGAGGCAGGAGGAUGGCAAGUUCAAAGUCAGCCUCAGCAAUUUAGCAAGACCCUAAGCAACUCAGCAAGACCCUGUCUCUA